rnacentral:rRNA from 1 species
UACAGAGGGGGGCAAGCGUUAUUCGGAAUUACUGGGCGUAAAGCGCACGUAGGCGGCUUUGUAAGUUAGAGGUGAAAGCCUGGAACUCAACUCCAGAAUUGCCUUUAAGACUGCAUCGCUUGAAUCCAGGAGAGGUGAGUGGAAUUCCGAGUGUAGAGGUGAAAUUCGUAGAUAUUCGGAAGAACACCAGUGGCGAAGGCGGCUCACUGGACUGGUAUUGACGCUGAGGUGCGAAAGCGUGGGGAGCAAACAGG